rnacentral:rRNA from 1 species
UCCGUAGGCGGUCUUUUAAGUCAGUGGUGAAAUCCCAGAGCUCAACUCUGGAACUGCCAUUGAAACUGAAAGACAUGAAUAUGGUUGAGGUAGGCGGAAUACGUUAUGUAGCGGUGAAAUGCAUAGAUAUAACGUAGAACACCAAUUGCGAAGGCAGCUUACUAAACCAUUAUUGACGCUGAUGGACGAAAGCGUGGGGAGCGAACAGGAUUAGAUACCCUGGUAGUCC